GACUGUUCCAUAGAUAAUAUUGGGACCAAAUUAAUUCGAGUAAGAAGAGGACAAAGGAUUAAGAACCAAACAAGGAAGACUCCCGGUUUUAUCUCUUCGUUUUUAAAUUUGUUUCUUGGAGAAGUGGCAUUUUAUUUCUCGAUCAGCAAACUCACUCUCAAACAAAGCAGAAUAUUCGGACAUAAUAAAGGAUGUAGACAAACCGCCCGAUAGAUACCACAGCUUAGUAUAACAAAAAAAGGAAAAGAAUGUCGGAUCCAAUUUCAAGACUUGUGACAAAGAAUGCAGCUUUGAUACCAAAAAUUGAAAUUGAAAUGCUGAUCUUGAGAUUACAAUAUUGUGAUUAUAAGAUGGUUAAUGCGCCUGAUGAGCCGGUGCAACCAUCGUCAAGACAGCUGUCCAAUAUGUCCUAAAUAGUCAAAUGAUAGUUAUCGGAUAAACACCGAUUGGACAUCAAUGUGGCAGACAAGCCAACAACACAUCCAUUAUGAAUAUAUGCAACUUUGCUAACAUAUAAAUAAGAAGACCCACAAAAGACAAAGAAUCUAUUAAAUACUCGGAUGACAAGUGUAAACCUCAAACACAAGAACAUCGAAAAACGCUCUCAGCUCCUAAAUAUGACACCACCAUCAAUCCAGCUCAACGAUUCCACUAAUUCAAUAUUUUCAUUACUUAGUGUCCAAAAAUGGCAAUCCCAUUUGAUAAAUACAGGCGUAGUCUUCCUUAACUGGAAAAGGAAAUGACAAUAGUUCAAACUGUUUUAAUUCAAACAA
rnacentral:lncRNA from 1 species